GAUCACAUUUAGGGUUUUCUUGUCAAAGAUCCUGGAGUGGUUUGAUAUCCCCUUUUCCAUCUUGAGUGAUGAGCAAACUGACUUGCCCAGGGUCAUGUAACUAGAAAACUGAAAAUGCAUCGCCUAUGUAUGAGUCACAAAACUGGUUUCAUCAACAUUCAAUCAUAUGAAGAUUUGGUGAUGAAAAAAAAUUAUAAAGAGAGAUUGAUUCUGGAGAUCCCUGCCUUGGUUUGGAGGAGACUUUUCCCCUGGAUUCAACAUCAGCUUGCUGCAUUGGUGGAAUUCUGGCUGAAGACACAACUAGAACUUCUGGUGGAAGAAUCACAAUUUAUACCUGGAGAAGAUGCACUGUGCUCUGCCUAUACUAUCUAGCUGAUGAAGUUAAUGGGAGUUUGGCUCACUGAGAAUGACAGACUUUUACCUGGGGGGUGGAAAGAAAAUCAAAUAUGACAAAAGUGGACAAUAGCAAUUAUUGGAAGAGAUGAGAGAGAGCAGAUACAGUAAAGCAUUGUUUGUUGACUUGUGAACAGGAACGGCCUCUCUAAAAAGCAAUUUGUAACUAAACCUCAAAAGUAACUAAUUUGUAUGUACUGUUUGAUUUGGUGAUACUACUACUAGAUCUGUAUUACAAAGAAAGAGAAAAUAUAUACAUAUUUCAUUUUCUUCAUAUUUAUACUUUUUGUUAUAG
rnacentral:lncRNA from 1 species